UCGUCGCUGGCGGGUGCUUCGGCACGCCGCUUGAGGAAAGUCCGGGCAACACAGAGCGCCUUACUUUUUAACGAAAAGCUGUGGGCGACCGCAGAGACAACGUGACAGAAAACAACCGCCGGCUCCUCCCCUCUACGGAGCAGAGAAGCCGGUAAGGGUGAAAAGGUGGGGUAAGAGCCCACCGGGUACCGGUGCGACCCGGUAUGCCGCACGUCUUAGGGGUUGCAAGGUCAAGUAAACCGGCAUUUAAGGGUUGCUCGCCCGUUGCCGGAGGGUAGACUGCUACUGGAGCGCGCGCUGCGCCUCCGAUUAGCCGUUGUGGCAACACACGGCACAGAUAAAUGACGAACCGGCCCGCCAGGUCGGAGCCUUCGGGCGCCGAAACCCUCGAGCCGACAUAACCCGGCUUAUAGCCGGACUG
rnacentral:RNase_P_RNA from 1 species